UCCGGUUUGUCACCGGCAGUCUCCUAUGAGUCCCCAACUGAAUGCUGGCAACAUAGGACAGGGGUUGCGCUCGUUACGGGACUUAACCCAACAUCUCACGACACGAGCUGACGACAGCCAUGCAGCACCUGUCUUGGGGCUCCCGAAGGCACCCCCGCAUUUCUACGGCUUUCCCGACCAUGUCAAGCCUUGGUAAGGUUCUUCGCGUUGCGUCGAAUUAAACCACAUGCUCCGCUGCUUGUGCGGGGCCCCGUCAAUUCCUUUGAGUUUUAGCCUUGCGGCCGUACUCCCCAGGCGAGGUGCUUAAUGCGUUAGCUUCGGCACGGAGGGAGUCGACACCCCCCACACCUAGCACCCAUCGUUUACGGCGUGGACUAC
rnacentral:misc_RNA from 1 species